UACGGAGGGUGCUAGCGUUGAUCGGAAUCACUGGGCGUAAAGGGCACGCAGGCGGGCAUUUAAGUCAGAUGUGAAAUCCCAGGGCUCAACCCGGGAACUGCAUUUGAAACUGCUAGUCUUGAGUAGUGUAGAGGGGGGUGGAAUUGCGAGUGUAGCGGUGAAAUGCGUAGAGAUUAGGAGGAAUACCGGUGGCGAAGGCGGC
rnacentral:rRNA from 1 species